rnacentral:lncRNA from 1 species
AAUUACUUUUCACGAGAUGAAAAGUGCACAUAUUGCAAUGAUUCUCUGGUUGGUAUAUGUUUUCUGUUUUAGAGUAAACAUUGUGCAUACAGAAGAUAAGAGGCUAUUGCUUAAUGACCAAGAUGUACUGGUUAAUCGACUGAACCGAAUGGAAAGUGUCAUGGCUGUUCUCAAUAGUACUGUUGUCCAACUUAAAACAGAAAACCAACAACAGGCGUUCACUGUCCAAAAACAGGAACAAACUAUUCA